UCUUUAAUAAGGUCUUUUUCUCUGUUUUGUUAUUUUCUUUUAUGUACAGAUGCACAAAGCAGGGUCAUCAGAAGCCUCUCAAUUCCAAAGAUGAUUAUAGUGAAAAACAUUGCACAAUGACAGUGAAUCCUUGGAAUAUGAAGAAAGAUUGUAAAGUCCUGAAUGAAUUAAGAAGGAAUUGUUACAUUAACUUACAUGUAACCAUGGCUCUCUUACCUUUAUUUUUCACUUUAUAAUGAAGAUAUUCCUCACCCGUCAAGGUUGCUUUGUUAGAUAUAGGGAAUAUCUAAAGCCUUUUCUGGAAGUUUUUUAAAUAAAUAAGAGCAGAGAAAACUUGAGCCUAUGAAUCUAAACUCAUCUGUGAUGGUCUGCAGCUGGGAGCAAGCAGAUCAGUGUCAGUCCCUUUGCAGCCGUUGGCUGGGAGCCUGCAUGUUCCCUGGAAUGAUAUUUGAAACGUGUCACCCUAGCCGUGCCUUCGCUCUGGACUGGGAGGCGAGUCAGUCAGAAUCUGCAUUAUGGAAUGUUUUGGAUGACAAGCUUGUAUUUGCAAAUGUACACACCCUGUGGGAGGUGCUCUGUACAUACGCUGAGAUACUGUACAUAAAAUUGCCUCUGAAUCCCAAUCAUCUGAAAACCGUGUCCUCAGCCUUUGAUACCUUCAGCUGUUUUAUGAAAGUCCUCCAAGUGGAUGAAAGUAUCAACAACCGGAACAAGAGUUUUUCAUUGCCCUAUUUGAGAAGAGCUGCGUGAACGACUUUUAUAUUCAGGAUAGUGAUACAUUCAUCAAUCCAACCACCAGGAGCCUCACUGUAAGUCUAAACCGAGUUUAGCUGCUGUCUUGGGGGUGAUUUAGAACCUGCUGUUGAAUUAUAAGUGAUUUGGUUUUGUUGGUUUGGUUUGGUUUUUAAAAGCUGCCCAUAAAAAUGAAAAAAGAGAAAGAAAAGAAAUAUGCCUGCAGAUUCCUGUUAGGAUAGUAAACAGUGGCUGGUUAUUUACCCUGUAUAAACCACACGCUUUCUUAGAAUCUAUUUAGGUUUACUUCAUCCUUUCUCAGAUCAAGUAUCAAGUAAGGGACAGUUUUAAAAAAAAAUUCAGGAUUAACUGGCUUGUGAGCUCCGGGAUCUGCAAGGCAGCUUUCCCUUCCCAUGGUGUAAGUCAAAUGGCAGAAAUGAAAUAAAGCAUUUCAUGUAUCCUCCGGUGUUAACAGGAAAAGGUGAGUCUUCUUGACCUUGUUACUUCCUGGGUAAAAUGAAGAUAAUAUGUCAGGAGUCGACAAGCCCAUUUAGGGCAGGAACCAUGUUGUCUUGUUCACUGCUGAAUCCCAGGCACCAGGAAGGCUGAGUUUAACAAGUGGGUGAAUGAAUGAACUGUAGUUCCCCCAGAGUUACCAUGUGGGGCAGUGUGGAUUAGCAUCUAAGAGCAUAGACUCGAGAGGUGAGGGUACAGCUCAAGUGAUGGGGCGCAUGCUUAGCACGCAUAAAGUCCUGGGUUCAGCCCCCAACACCUCCUCUAAAAUAGACAAAUAACCCUAAUUACCUCCCCACCCCCCACCAGAAUUACCUUAUUAUCUCCCUGCCACCAAAAAAAAAAAAAAAAAGGUAGAAGUGGCCAAGAGCAUAGACUCAGGCUGGAACACUUGUGCUGGUUUCUCGCUGUCUACCUUGUAAAAGUCAUUUAGCCUCUGUGUUUAUCAAGUUCCUCAUCAAUAAAAUGGGGAUAAUAAUAGUACCCACCUCGUAGAGAUGCUAUGGGGAUUAAUGAAUCUGCUUGAAUUUUAGAACAGCCCUGUCUAAUAGUAAGUACUAUGCAUUUGCCAGCUCUUUUCAUAAUUACUGACAGAUGUUAUUAUCAACCAAAGAAGUAUUAGUUCUUUGUAAGGGAAAUGCAUGUUAGACCAUUUCAUUUAUCAUUUUCUGUAAUUCAGGCUUUUUCCCUCUGAAAUACCAUUUUCUGUCUGUGCACUAGUAAAUCACAGGGCUUUCCAAAUUUCAUCUGUCUGAGUUCUUGUCAUGAUGACAAUACUGCAGAGUUUUGACAUUUUUUAGGGACUCCAUCUGAGAUGACAGCAACCCCUCAAAUUCAGAAGCACUUCUCUAACUGACAACAUCUCGCAUGAAAUGAAGUUUGUAAAAUUGCAACUUCAGCCUCCAUCAGAGGACCUCAGCUGCCCCAGCGAACAGGGCCUUCUGUACAGGGAAUGUGCUCCUCCUCGAAGCAUAGACAAGAA